rnacentral:rRNA from 1 species
UACAGAGGUCUCAAGCGUUGUUCGGAUUCAUUGGGCGUAAAGGGUGCGUAGGUGGCGCCGUAAGUCAGGUGUGAAAUUUCGGAGCUUAACUCCGAAACUGCAUUUGAUACUGCGGUGCUUGAGGACUGGAGAGGAGACUGGAAUUUACGGUGUAGCAGUGAAAUGCGUAGAGAUCGUAAGGAAGACCAGUGGCGAAGGCGGGUCUCUGGACAGUUCCUGACACUGAGGCACGAAGGUCAGGGGAGCAAACGGG